rnacentral:rRNA from 3 species
AAAAUGACUCUCGGCAACGGAUAUCUCGGCUCUCGCAUCGAUGAAGAACGUAGCGAAAUGCGAUACUUGGUGUGAAUUGCAGAAUCCCGUGAACCAUCGAGUCUUUGAACGCAAGUUGCGCCCGAAACCAUUAGGUUGAGGGCACGUCUGCCUGGGUGUCACA